rnacentral:rRNA from 1 species
GCUUAACACAUGCAAGUCGAGCGGGCGAGGUUGCUUCGGUAACUGAGCUAGCGGCGGACGGGUGAGUAAUGCUUAGGAAUCUGCCUAUUAGUGGGGGACAACAUUCCGAAAGGAAUGCUAAUACCGCAUACGCCCUACGGGGGAAAGCAGGGGAUCUUCGGACCUUGCGCUAAUAGAUGAGCCUAAGUCAGAUUAGCUAGUUGGUGGGGUAAAGGCCUACCAAGGCGACGAUCUGUAGCGGGUCUGAGAGGAUGAUCCGCCACACUGGGACUGGGACACGGCCCAGACUCCUACGGGAGGCAGCAGUGGGGAAUAUUGGACAAUGGGCGAAAGCCUGAUCCAGCCAUGCCGCGUGUGUGAAGAAGGCCUUUUGGUUGUAAAGCACUUUAAGCGAGGAGGAGGCUACCGAGAUUAAUACUCUUGGAUAGUGGACGUUACUCGCAGAAUAAGCACCGGCUAACUCUGUGCCAGCAGCCGCGGUAAUACAGAGGGUGCGAGCGUUAAUCGGAUUUACUGGGCGUAAAGCGUGCGUAGGCGGCUUCUUAAGUCGGAUGUGAAAUCCCUGAGCUUAACUUAGGAAUUGCAUUCGAUACUGGGAAGCUAGAGUAUGGGAGAGGAUGGUAGAAUUCCAGGUGUAGCGGUGAAAUGCGUAGAGAUCUGGAGGAAUACCGAUGGC